AUUUUCCGGUUGAUCCUGCCGGAGGUCACUGCUAUCGGGGUUCGAUUAAGCCAUGCGAGUUGAGAGGGUUUAGACCCUCGGCGGACUGCUCAGUAACACGUGGAUAACCUGCCCUAAGGUGGAGGAUAACCCCGGGAAACUGGGGAUAAUACUCCAUAGACCAGAGUGACUGGAAUGUUUUCUGGUCGAAAGUUCCGGCGCCUUAGGAUGGAUCUGCGGCCGAUUAGGUAGUUGUUGGGGUAACGGCCCAACGAGCCAGUCAUCGGUACGGGUUGUGGGAGCAAGAGCCCGGAGAUGGAAUCUGAGACACGAUUCCAGGCCCUACGGGGCGCAGCAGGCGCGAAAACUUUACAAUGCAGGAAACUGUGAUAAGGGAACCCCGAGUGCUCGUACACGCGAGCUGUCCAGGUGUGUAAAAAGCAUCUGAAGAAAGGGCCGGGCAAGACCGGUGCCAGCCGCCGCGGUAAUACCGGCGGCUCGAGUGGUGGCCACUAUUAUUGGGCUUAAAGCGUUCGUAGCUGGACUCUUAAGUCUCCUGGGAAAUCCGCCGGCUCAACCGGCGGGCGUCCAGGAGAUACUGGGAGUCUUGGAACCGGAAGAGGUAAGAGGUACUUCGGGGGUA
rnacentral:rRNA from 1 species